rnacentral:lncRNA from 1 species
GUGGUAGUUCGAGUCGAAAUUAAAUGUGGUCUAAACUCGCUUCUACAUGAACUCGAGUUAUAUUUGAAACAAAAUCUUUGGAGAUGGUCCCGAUCUACUUUUAUAAAGAAAAUUGUGGACCAGUUGUUUCAACCGUAGUUUUCACCCUGGAGUUAGUCAGAUCUUGGUACGAAUUACAUUGGAUAACAAAAAUAUAGUUCUUAGUUAUAAUAUCUGCAUAUUUAUACGUCCGUAACGUUUAUUGCGAUUAAUAAGAAAGAA